rnacentral:lncRNA from 1 species
CAAGGACCCAGUUUAUUUUUUUAAAUAAAUUUAUUUAUUUUUAGUGUCAAAAUUAAAAUAUUUACUGUUUUGCCUCUUUUAUUUUAUAACAUAAUCUAAUAAAAAGAAGCGGCCUAUAGUUUUUCUUUUCAUUUGCUUCUCUCCUCUUUUUUUUCGUUUUUUCAAUUUUUUUCUCUGCGAUUUUCUUGUUCUUCUCUGUGAAAAUCACUUCUCUUCCUUCUUCUUUCUUCAUAACCUGUCGUCCACCAUGGAUACCGAACAAAACCUUCACUUUUCCAUAGAUACCGAGCAUAAGAUAUCAAGAACGGUGGCGGCUCAACCUGAUUUGAUGAGAGAUUCUGAGUUUUUUUUCUUUUCGAUUUAUGGUUGUAAAUUAAGAUUCUGGAUUUUGUAUGAUAAGGGUUCUUCUUGUUCUCUAUAGAUCUGGGUUUUAUAUGAUUUUGGGAUUUUAUUGCUCUUGUUCCCCUUUGCAAAGUAUGUUUUGUGUUUUUUAUUUAUUUUCUUCAGAUCUGGAUCCAGUAUAACUCGG